CUAAGAAUCUUCCGCAAUGGACGAAAGUCUGACGGAGCGACGCCGCGUGGAUGAAGAAGGCCGAAAGGUUGUAAAAUCCUUUUGUCCGGGAGGAAUAAGGGUAGGAGGAAAUGCCUGCCUGAUGACGUUAACGGAUGAAUAAGCCCCGGCUAAUUACGUGCCAGCAGCCGCGGUAACACGUGAGGGGCGAGCGUUGUUCGGAAUUAUUGGGCGUAAAGGGUGCGCAGGCGGCUAUGCAAGUUUGGUGUCAAAGACCGCAGCUUAACUGCGGGCAGGCGCUGAAAACUGUGUAGCUGGAGUAUAUGAGAGGGAACCGGAAUUCCUAGUGUAGGGGUGAAAUCUGUAGAUAUUAGGAAGAACACCAAUGGCGAAGGCAGGUUUCUGGCAUAAGACUGACGCUGAGGCACGAAAGCGUGGGUAUCGAACAGG
rnacentral:rRNA from 1 species